AUCGCUUCUCUGCCUUUUGGCUAAGAUCAAGUGUAGUACCUGUUCUUAUCAGUUUAAUAUCAACAAGCAGAAAUUUAUUGUUGAUUGACUUGCCUUUUCCAGUAAUCAUCAUUUUGACAAAAGAAAUGACCAGAAGCAUCAAUGGAUUACGAAUGACUAGUUCUAUACACUUUGGGACUAAAUUUUAGCCUAC
ensembl:snRNA U2 U2 spliceosomal RNA